GUAUACCUCGCAACGGCAGCACAUAUAUUAAAACUGGAAUGAUGCAGAGAAGACUAGCACGGCCCCUGCACAAGGAUGACAAAUUCGUGAAGCAUUCCAUCCAGCAUCUU